rnacentral:misc_RNA from 1 species
UGCGGGAGAGUAGGUUAUUGCCAGGGUUUUUAUUUUUAUACUUUAAACUUUGAUUUUAUUUUUAUGUUUUUUAAAUAUUGGUGUUUUUGAAUGUGUUGUUUAAAUAACAUAAAAAAUAAAAUAUAUAUUGACAUGUAUUAAACAAAGAUAUAUAUUAUUUUAUGUUGUAUAAAUAAAUUGGCAAAAUAGAGAUGGAAGAUAAAAAUAUGGUCAAAGUAAUAAGAGUCUAUGGUGAAU